rnacentral:rRNA from 1 species
GACGGAGGAUGCAAGUGUUAUCCGGAAUCCCUGGGCGUAAAGCGUCUGUAGGUGGUUUAAAAAGUCCACUGUUAAAGAUUGAAGCUUAACUUCAAAAAUGCCGUGGAAACUUUUAAACUUGAGUAUGAUAGGGGUAGAGGGAAUUUCCAGUGGAGCGGUGAAAUGCGUAGAUAUUGGAAAGACCACCAAUGGCGAAGGCACUCUACUGGGCCAUUACUGACACUGAGAGACGAAAGCUAGGGGAGCAAAUGGG